AUUGAACGCUGGCGGCAUGCUUUACACAUGCAAGUCGAACGGCAGCGCGGGGGCAACCCUGGCGGCGAGUGGCGAACGGGUGAGUAAUGCAUCGGAACGUAUCCUGUAAUGGGGGAUAACGUAGCGAAAGUUACGCUAAUACCGCAUACGCUCGAGAGAGGAAAGUGGGGGAUCGCAAGACCUCACGUUAUAGGAGCGGCCGAUGUCCGAUUAGCUAGUUGGUGGGGUAAAGGCCUACCAAGGCGACGAUCGGUAGCUGAUCUGAGAGGAUGAUCAGCCACACUGGGACUGAGACACGGCCCAGACUCCUACGGGAGGCAGCAGUGGGGAAUUUUGGACAAUGGGCGAAAGCCUGAUCCAGCCAUG
rnacentral:rRNA from 1 species